GUGAGCGCAGCGAAUAGACGUUUCAAUAUUAUUUGUUUUGUUUGCUUUUCUGUUCUGCAAAAUUUUUAUCUAUUUAUUCGUUUUUCAUUUAUUAAUUGUGACAAAAAUUUAAAUUGGAUAACAAUAAGUACGUGUUGUAUCAGCUCUCAACUGUCUACUGCUGAAACUAGCCUCAGUGCUGUCAAGAUCUCCGGUUUCUCGGGAACAAUAUAGAGACCAAAAGGUUUAGAUGGACGCUGUGGAUCUCAUCUGCUCUUCGGCUCUUCGGCAGCUAGGCUUGAGUGAGAAGGAGGUCUUCAUCAUAAAGGAGG